GACGGAGGGGGCAAGCGUUGUCCGGACUCACUGGGCGUAAAGGGCGCGCAGGCGGUAGCGUGCGUCGGUGCUGAAAGCGCCCCGCUUAACGGGGCGAGGCGUGCCGAUACGACGCGACUGGAGGCAGGCAGAGGGUGGCGGAAUUCCGGGUGUAGUGGUGAAAUGCGUAGAAAUCCGGAGGAACGCCGGUGGCGCAAGUGGCCACGGGGGCCUGACCUGACUCUGAGGCGCGAAAGCGUGGGGAGCGAACCGG
rnacentral:rRNA from 1 species